UCCGCAGGGGGUUUGCCAAGUCUGAUGUGAAAUCCCGUGGCUCAACUGCGGAAUGGCAUUGGAUACUGGCGGACUGGAGUCUGCGAGAGGUGAGCGGAAUUCCUGGUGUAGCGGUGGAAUGCGUAGAUAUCAGGAAGAACACCCAUGGCGAAGGCAGCUCACUGGCGCAGUACUGACCCUCAGGGACGAAAGCGUGGGGAGCAAACA
rnacentral:rRNA from 1 species